GACAUGUUUAAUAGUGCACUGCAAUGCUAUGGAACAGUUUAAAACAGGAAGCCAUGAAGAAUACUAUAACCAGUUGAAACUGUAAGGAAGAAGGAAAUCCCAGUGGUAUAACUGUAAAAUGUAGAAACAGUUUCUGUUACUUCAUCAAGUCACAAGCGAGAUGCCCUCAGUGAAUCUUUUGACGCCCACAGAUGGAUAUAAAGUUGAAUCACGGGCUGAUGUUGGCAUUAAGAGAGCACUAGUAAGUCAUGGCUGAAGAAGAGAAACUUGCAGUAGACAGCGCUAAGAGUGCGCAAGGCAAUGUCAAUGUGGGAUCCUUGGAAUCGGGGCCCAGUGAUCUGAGGGGGGCUGAAAUGACAGAGUUGGUGAGAAAUCAAGAGCCUCACUCAGAAGAAAAUAUUGAGGAUUCCAUGAGAGGAAGGAAACAGUGAGGAAGAGUCCAUUGGAAGGCGUGAGGAGAAGAUCAAGUUGAUGAGAUCCUGGCGGCUGCAUAAUGUACUGCAGCAUCUCACUGGAAGAAGACAGAACAACCUGAUUUUCAAGACAUAAAUGGCCAGCGUAUGGGAUACACUAGAAACGUGUGAAAUGACCAUGAAUGGGAGACUCUGAAGGCUGCCACUGGAGUCCUCGAUACACCACGUGUGGCUCUCCUGUACCAAUGCAGAACCAGUUGUAGGCUGCUAGCCGGGAAAUUGGCUGAGUCCCUUCAGCUCCAAUCUCUCCUGGAACAGAUGGAGGAGCCUCAGUACCAGCUGGGUCCCUUCCAAUGCCAUUUGAAAUGUAGUACAAGACAAUUAUAACCCGCCCCGUGCCUGCAUAGCAGAACUGUGACUGUGUUGCUUGCUUUGGGACAGGAUCUAACCCAGAAUAAAUGACAAAAGACAAGUUGACUCCGUGCUAAAUGUGCUGGUGAACUCACUCUUCUGAAAAAACUUAAAGCUUGUGUGUAAAUGUGGCUAUUAAUAGUCUGGGAAAGAUCUGAUGGCAAUUGUUCAUCAUAGUGCAUUAGAAGCCUGGUUUCAGACUAUUGUCUCAUCAGCCUGUGAAAAUGGACCCCAGCUUUGGAGACAUGAUGAUUAAUGCACAGAAACGAUGUUCAAGAUUAUAUUAUGUCAUGAAUACAAGUAUGUUUAAUCAAAAUAAUAUCUGGUCACUGCCAGAGCCAUAGGUUUAGCAGGAUUCUCUGCCUUACGUUAUAAAAUAAAAUGGGAAUAUUUAUUUGAUUUUCAUUUAAAACUUAAAAUAUGACUAUUUGGAAAUACUGAGUGGAAUUUUCUCUUC